rnacentral:rRNA from 1 species
AGAGUUUGAUCCUGGCUCAGGAUGAACGCUAGCUACAGGCUUAACACAUGCAAGUCGAGGGGAAACGACAUCGAAAGCUUGCUUUUGAUAGGCGUCGACCGGCGUACGGGUGAGUAACGCGUAUCCAACCUGCCCACCACUUGGGGAUAACCUUGCGAAAGUAAGACUAAUACCCAAUGACGUCUCUAGAAGACAUCUGAAAGAGAUUAAAGAUUUAUCGGUGAUGGAUGGGGAUGCGUCUGAUUAGCUUGUUGGCGGGGUAACGGCCCACCAAGGCGACGAUCAGUAGGGGUUCUGAGAGGAAGGUCCCCCACAUUGGAACUGAGACACGGUCCAAACUCCUACGGGAGGCAGCC